rnacentral:lncRNA from 1 species
CAAUAAAGAAUCAGUUAAAAAAAUCAGUUUUUUUUAAAAAAAAUCAGUUAAAAAUAAAAGAAAACAUGUCUAAGGGUGAAAAUAUUGUUUGUUUCAUUAUCUUCUUAGUGAUAUUUUUGGUGGUUUCAACAGGUAAUUUUAACAUAGUUUUUGAAGUCUCCCAAAAGCAUGUCUUUGAUUUCUAAGCAUGAUGUGUAUUACAUAUGGGCAUUCAGAUUUUGGAACUAAUUCAAUUCGGUUUCUAUCAGAUCCGGAACUUUAGGUUUAUAUAUAUUUGAAGUCAAAUUGGAAUUUAUAAAUUUUGUUUGGGUUUGGGUUCAGUUUCCACAUUGUGUAUUCUAAUAUUACAAGCUCUAACCUUUUGCAUUUAAAAGGUUUUUAUUAGUCAUCAAUGUUUAACACAAAACAAAAUUAUUAAAAAAAUUAUAGAUGCUAAGAUGCGUUUGGUUUAUGGUGUUUACAAUGUAGAAAAUUGAUCUAUAUAUGUUUUGUCAUAAUCACUUUCCAACAGAGAAAAUAGCUGCUGAAAAACUGGACCGUGAUUGUCGAGGACUGCCACUCCUUGUGGCACCGCCUCACCAAGUUUUGUAAAAUUACUAUUCUGAUUUUGAAGAGAUAAUGACUUUUUUCUUCCAAGUUUUAUCUUACUGAAAGGUAAACUGACAUUUACAUAUUGUCCUAAUCUCUUAUUUGAGUCACAUUCAUAGCAAAUAGCCGGACAUUCAAUAAAGUAGAGAAAUCAUAAAUUGGCUACUUUGUUGUCAGGCAUUGAGUGAAAUGAAUUCCUGUAAUACCUUCGAAAGCUUCAAGUGCCUUCUGGGAUGCUUUUGUUGGAUGUUUCUUUUUUGUUUUUUGGCACAG